rnacentral:rRNA from 1 species
UACGUAGGGGGCUAGCGUUGUCCGGAAUCAUUGGGCGUAAAGCGCGUGUAGGCGGUUCGAUAAGUCUGCUGUGAAAGUCCAAGGCUCAACCUUGGAAAGCCGGUGGAUACUGUCGAGCUCGAGUCCGGAAGAGGCGAGUGGAAUUCCUGGUGUAGCGGUGAAAUGCGCAGAUAUCAGGAGGAACACCGAUUGCGAAGGCAGCUCGCUGGGACGUAACUGACGCUGAGACGCGAAAGCGUGGGGAGCAAACAGG